GAUGAACGCUGGCGGCGUGCCUAAUACAUGCAAGUCGAACGAAAUACCUUCGGGUAUUUAGUGGCGAACGGGUGAGUAAUACGUAGAUAACCUGCCUAUAGGACUGGGAUAACUAUUGGAAACGAUAGCUAAUACCGGAUAGGUAGAACGAGGGCAUCCUUGUUCUAUUAAAGUUGGGAAACAACACAUAUAGAUGGAUCUACGGCGCAUUAGUUAGUUGGUGGGGUAACGGCCUACCAAGACGAUGAUGCGUAGCCGACCUGAGAGGGUGAACGGCCACACUGGGACUGAGACACGGCCCAGACUCCUACGGGAGGCAGCAGUGGGGAAUUUUGGACAAUGGGGGCAACCCUGAUCCAGCCAUGCCGCGUGAGUGAAGAAGG
rnacentral:rRNA from 1 species